CAUUCUGAUUCCGCGAUUACUAGCAAUUCCAACUUCAUGCAGGCGAGUUGCAGCCUGCAAUCUGAACUGAGACCGAGUUUUGUGAUUUGCUCCACCUCACGGUUUCGCUGCACUUUGUUAUCGGCCAUUGUAGUACGUGUGUAGCCCUGGGCAUAAGGGGCAUGAUGAUUUGACGUCGUCCCCACCUUCCUCCGAUUUGUCACCGGCAGUCUCGCCAGAGUGCCCAACUUAAUGAUGGCAACUGACAAUAGGGGUUGCGCUCGUUGCGGGACUUAACCCAACAUCUCACGACACGAGCUGACGACAACCAUGCACCACCUGUCACCGAUGUUCCGAAGAAAAGGCGUAUCUCUACACCGGUCAUCGGGAUGUCAAGCCCAGGUAAGGUUCUUCGCGUUGCUUCGAAUUAAACCACAUACUCCACUGCUUGUGCGGGCCCCCGUCAAUUCCUUUGAGUUUCAACCUUGCGGUCGUACUCCCCAGGUGGGAUACUUAUUGUGUUAACUGCGGCACAGAAGGGGUCGAUACCUCCUACACCUAGUAUCCAUCGUUUACGGUGUGGACUACCAGGGUAUCUAAUCCUGUUUGCUCCCCACACUUUCGCGCCUCAGCGUCAGUUGUCGUCCAG
rnacentral:rRNA from 1 species